GGCAGUUCUCGGAUGACGCACCCCGGAAUUGGGCUCCCUCCUCUCUGGUUCCGGGUACGACACCCGAGAACCGCA
rfam:Myotis brandtii contig264360, whole genome shotgun sequence.